UCCAUAGCUCAGUGGCCGGUUAGAGCGUCCAACCGGCAUCUGGAAGGUCAUGGGUUCCAUUCCCGUUGGAACAA